rnacentral:lncRNA from 1 species
CGGCGCGCGGCGAGACCGGGUCCGCGAGGGCCGAGGCUGGGUGCGGUGGGGCGGGGUCCCCUCGUGCAGCGGUGCGGCAGUGGCGAAGCCCCGGGCGGUUGGGGCGCAGGGCGGAGAGAAUGGGGCGUCCAAGGUGUUAGACGGCUCUCAGCUCUCGGUGUGCAGCCGUCGUUUCUUGGCGCGGCCCGUGUGAUGGUGCCCGGAGGAAGGAAGCGCCGUGACAGCGCCUCAGUCAGAGCCCGGGUUCCGGGGGUGAGGAGGCCCGGGGACGGCGGAGCUGGCGAGCUGGCCGCUGGCUGGGCGAGCGGUCACAAUAGGAGGCGGCGGCCCAGCAGGAAGCCGCGGGAGCAGCCCCGCAGGGCGGAGCCUCCCCUCACAGGUA